rnacentral:lncRNA from 1 species
CCAUUCUACGUUCAUCCCUUUCUUUAAAGGUGACCCACACCUUAAGAUUUUUGGUACAAUGUCCUACACUUGAAAAAUACCAAGCUCCAAAUGGAGAAAGAACACCCAUAAGCAUUCAAAUUGUUAUUCUUACAAAACCAUGGACAUAAAUCCUCAAGAGGACAACAAACAAGAUAGGAGAAAGAGAGCAGCCAGCCCUAGACAUGGAGGACAUUAUUUGAAAAUGUAAAUGGAGAAAGAACACCCAUAAGCAUUCAAAUUGUUAUUCUUACAAAACCAUGGACAUAAAUCCUCAAGAGGACAUCAAACAAGAUAGGAGAAAGAGAGCAGCCAGCCCUAGACUUGUAGGGCAUUAUUCCAAGAUUGGGGCAGGGUAGAGCUCAAGGACCUUUUUCCAAGAUGGCCUGCUACUAAUAUCAUCCCACCAUGCACUCACAUGCUCUCUCUCCUUAAUCAAAUACAUCUUGC